rnacentral:rRNA from 1 species
CUUGCAUAUAUAAGAGGUCCAGCCUGCCCAGUGACUUAGUUCAACGGCCGCGGUAUCCUAACCGUGCGAAGGUAGCGUAAUCACUUGUUCUUUAAAUGAGGACUCGUAUGAAUGGCACCACGAGGGUUACACUGUCUCCUUUCUCUAAUCAAUGAAACUGAUCUCCCCGUGAAGAAGCGGGGAUACACAUAUUAGACGAGAAGACCCUAUGGAGCUUCAAACUAUACAGCACUGGCUUUUAUCUUUUUCCACUUCAGAGUUUUUAAUUUUAUUCUAGCCUUUUGACUAUUAGUUUUAGGUUGGGGUGACCACGGAGCAAAAAUUAACCUCCACGAUGAACAGACCAACUCUUGAGCUAAAAGCCACAACUUUAAGCACCAAUAAACUGACACAAAUUGACCCAAUAUUUUGACCAACGAAC